GAUACGCAUGGUAAAAAACUAUGGACUCGUUAUCGUUCAUUUAAACACAGUAUUAAGGGACACGAGUACAAAUGCAUAUAUGCUGACGUACGAAGCAUAGGGAAGGACGACUACGUAUAUAUACGACAUUACGAGAUAGGCAGAACUUGGCACAGCUAUAGGUAUUAUGCGAAAGCAUUGGAAGGGCGAAGACAAGGGCCAGGGCCAGUAAUGCGAGUCAGCAUGCAGCGAGGAGGACAAGGAACAGAUUAUACCCUAUAUUAUUGGGACGCGCAUGAGCGUUGCGCCGUAUUUUUGUUGCCACAGAACGCUAGGACUGAUUGCGAGAUGCACGUGUUAGGUGACCACGUUCGGGUACACGUACCUUGGUGCCAAAUGGCAUAUAAAAGAAUGUGUAAUCAUCAAUGGCCUGUUUAUACUGACCAAUGCGGACCACCUUGAUUUCUUCAAAAUAUUUGGUUUUUGUUAAGGGCGAUAUGAGCUAAUUGUGUACUGAAUAAAGGUUUGGAAUCAU